rnacentral:rRNA from 1 species
AUUGAACGCUGGCGGCAUGCCUUACACAUGCAAGUCGAACGGUAACAGGUCCUCGGAUGCUGACGAGUGGCGAACGGGUGAGUAAUACAUCGGAACGUGCCUAGUAGUGGGGGAUAACUACUCGAAAGAGUGGCUAAUACCGCAUGAGAUCUACGGAUGAAAGCAGGGGAGCGCAAGACCUUGUGCUACUAUAGCGGCCGAUGGCAGAUUAGGUAGUUGGUGGGAUAAAAACUUACCAAGCCGACGAUCUGUAGCUGGUCUGAGAGGACGAUCAGCCACACUGGGACUGAGACACGGCCCAGACUCCUACGGGAGGCAGCAGUGGGGAAUUUUGGACAAUGGGCGCAAGCCUGAUCCAGCAAUGCCGCGUGCAGGAUGAAGGCCUUCGGGUUGUAAACUGCUUUUGUACGGAACGAAAAGCCCCGGGUUAAUACCCUGGGGUCAUGACGGUACCGUAAGAAUAAGCACCGGCUAACUACGUGCCAGCAGCCGCCGCGG